rnacentral:rRNA from 1 species
GACGAACGCUGGCGGCGUGCUUAACACAUGCAAGUCGAACGGAAAGGCCCUGCUUUUGUGGGGUGCUCGAGUGGCGCACGGGUGAGUAACACGUGAGUAACCUGCCCUUGACUUUGGGAUAACUUCAGGAAACUGGGGCUAAUACCGGAUAGGAGCUCCUGCUGCAUGGUGGGGGUUGGAAAGUUUCGGCGGUUGGGGAUGGACUCGCGGCUUAUCAGCUUGUUGGUGGGGUAGUGGCUUACCAAGGCUUUGACGGGUAGCCGGCCUGAGAGGGUUACCGGCCACAUUGGGACUGAGAUACGGCGCAGACGCCUACGGGAGGCAGCAGUGGAGAAUAUUGCACAAUGGGCGGAAGCCUGAUGCAGCAACGCCGCGUGCGGGAUGACGGCCUUCGGGUUGUAAACCGCUUUCGCCUGUGACGAAGCGGGAGUGACGGUAAUGGGUAAAGAAGCACCGGCUAACUACGUG